rnacentral:rRNA from 1 species
AGUGAACGCUGGCGGUAGGCCUAACACAUGCAAGUCGAACGGCAGCACAGUAAGAGCUUGCUCUUACGGGUGGCGAGUGGCGGACGGGUGAGGAAUACAUCGGAAUCUACUUUUUCGUGGGGGAUAACGUAGGGAGACUUACGCGAAUACCGCAUACGACCUACGGGUGAAAGCAGGGGAUCUUCGGAUCUUGCGCGAUUGAAUGAGCCGAUGUCGGAUUAGCUAGUUGGCGGGGUAAAGGCCCACCAAGGCGACGAUCCGUAGCUGGUCUGAGAGGAUGAUCAGCCACACUGGAACUGAGACACGGUCCAGACUCCUACGGGAGGCAGCAGUGGGGAAUAUUGGACAAUGGGCGCAAGCCUGAUCCAGCCAUACCGCGUGGGUGAAGAAGGCCUUCGGGUUGUAAAGCCCUUUUGUUGGGAAAGAAAAGCAGCAGGUUAAUACCCCGCUGUUCUGACGGUACCCAAAGAAUAAGCACCGGCUAACUUCGUG